rnacentral:rRNA from 1 species
GCAAGUCGAGCGGUAAGGCCCCUUCGGGGGUACACGAGCGGCGGACGGCUGAGUAACGCGUGGGAACAUGCCCCAAAGUGAGGAAUAAGCUCCAGAAAUGGAGUCUAAUGCCGCAUAUGAUCUUCGGAUUAAAGGAUUUAUCCGCUUUGGGAGUGGCCUGCGUACGAUUAGCUUGUUGGUAAGGUAAUGGCUUACCAAGGCUACGAUCGUUAGCUGGUCUGAGAGGAUGACCAGCCAGACUGGAACUGAGACACGGUCCAGACUCCUACGGGAGGCAGCAGUGAGGAAUCUUCCACAAUGGGCGAAAGCCUGAUGGAGCAACGCCGCGUGCAGGAUGAAGGCCUUCGGGUCGUAGACUGCUUUUAUAAGUGAAGAAUAUGACGGUAACUUAUGAAUAAGUACCGGCUAACUACGUGCCAGCAGCCGCGGUCAUACGUAGGGUGCAAGCAUUAUCCGGAGUGACGGGGCGUAAAUAGUUGCGUAGGUGGUUAU